AUGGAGAGGAGUGUGUACGGAGCGGACUGCACCAGCACCCCCACCUACCUCAACAAGCCAAUGAUGUUGCGGGAUCUGCGUUUUGGGGUGGAGCCUGACAAUGGGGAAAACCUGAGGCGAAUUGGACGCAGCCUGAGCGGCACAGUAGUGACCCCGCGCCGCAGCCGCCUGACUGCAACCCGCAGCUUUGUGAGUGUGACUUCCUGUGCUCUGCUGCCUCCCUGUGGCCGUGCUAUUAAACUGCAUCUGCCUGAUGUCCCGCCGCGGCACUUUACACAUUGCUUUUCCCUGUGCUCUUCCCCCUCCCUGCUGUUUGUCUCGUUUCUUCCUUUUGUCCUGCUUUUUUCCAAUUCCAAUCUGUCGUCCUCUCUCUCCCUCUGCUUCUCUUUCCUUCUCUCUCCUCUUCUCUCUCAAAGGUGAAGCAGGCUGAUGUCAGUGCCUCUCCUUGCUUACUUCCUCUCUUCUGAGUCCCUGUUGCUAUUCCACCACUAUCAUCUCCUCCAUCCUCCUCAUCACCAACACCUCCUCAUCACCACCUCCCUCCACUGCUUCACAGGUAAACACUGCGCUGAGCUCAUAUGACGUUGCACUUGUAAAUACCUCUCAUCUGCUUAUGACUGGUAAGAGAGUACAUACUUCCUUGGUUGAGCUACUUUUAGUGCCAGAUGAGUAGUAAUUUUUCAAUCAGGUCUUUUCUUGAUAUUCUAUAACAUUUUUGGUAAACAUUUUACCUUCUGGCAAACCAGACUCAUCUGGCACAAAAGUAGGCUAAGCCCUUAUUUGCAAGUAGCUAGAUCCUGGAGAUGUGCAUUGGUUUGUAAUAACUGUGGGGAAAAUCACCUACGUUUUGAACCCAAUUACCCACAACAGAUGAUAAAGAUGAUGUUUUCUUUUAAAUCUUAUAAAAAAAGAUAUUUCCUUCUCACUCAAGAUGAUAAAAUAUUGAAAAUUCAAUAUAAACUAUUAUUUUUCUUUAAGGACAGAAUAACCGUGUAAUGUUACUUGACUUAUUUCCAACUUUUGAAGCUUUAUUCUGUACCAAAAUGACACAAAGAAUAACCACAGACCUGUGUGGUUUGCUUGUGUCAUUUAAGGUCUCACUUUUUAGAGACUUUUUACAGUCUUUACAGUUUUUACACUUCUUCUUUCAGAGUGCUAAAAUCACACCUAACUGUGAGCUGAGGCUAAUGCGUAUUGAUCUGAAAUAUGUUGUUCUAAGCCAAUAUUCUCUCCAGUAGAAAAACUUUUUAAUACUUAUUAUUACAAAGUAUUCAACAGCCCUAAACAACAGCUUAGAACAAACAGCUCUAACCUUAAUGAAGUUACAGUAUGAAUAUGUCAGUUUGCUUUAACUCUUUAGAGGAUACACUGACAGCGGACACAUUGUUUCAGAAUCGAUAUGCAAGAUAUCAAACUGAAACUAUUUAUUUGGUGGGUCUGAAAGUUGAAAAGGACAUUUGUCGGACAAGCUGCUGAAGGAGUUGACACCUAAAUAACAGGCAAAACAGAAAAUAGUGAUAUUACACAUACAAAACAGAAGAAGACAAAACAGCAAGUAGAUAUUGACACUUAAAACAGAUUUAUUUUCAGUCUGUUUUGGAUGUGAGGUUGCACAACUGGUCUCCAGUAUACAAUGCUUUAUUCCCCACAUGUUUUUGGCUGCCUUGCCUUCAUCAGUGUGCACGUUUACAUGCCCACUAGUAUUAGAGUAUGUUAAUUUUGUGCAUGUGACCAUUAUAUCAUGGUCUCAGAAACCUGGAUAAGCUAGCUGGAGUACUCUAAUGGAAACCAGGAAACUGGAGUGUGAACACCUGACCCAGGUUCACUGGAAUCAAGACACAACUGUACAUGCUCAGAAACCUGGAUACUGUUAUGUAGAGGGAGCUGAAUAACCAUGUUCCAUGUAAAGGUCAUAUCUUGAAAAAGGAUCAAAACCUAAAAAAUUAAUAUGCAUCUAAGUGUGUAAAGUAAACUCGGUGUAGUAUAUGAGAGUUUGUUUUAGUGCUAUAAAUACGAAUGAAGACAUAAAAAAACAUGACAGCCAUCUUUUUGCUUUUUAAAAUAUAAUAUUCAGUCUUUUCCAUUAUAGGGUAAAAAUAACUAAAACCUCUUUACACCUCAAAUGCAUCCCACCUUUAUUGAACUUUAUAUUUGUAAUCUACAACAACUUAAACAGACAUUUAUUUAAAAAACACUAAAGGUAAAAUAUUGUAUCACACAUGUUGCUGCAGUUGAUUCACCUGUUUUCACCUCUGUUCAAUUUCAAAUCACUUUACUAAUUCACAGAACUUUAUAUUCAAUUUCUUUCUAAAUUUAGAAGUUCUGAACAUAAAUUAGAUGAAAAUGUCUAUAAUGUUAUUAGAAUAUUUAAUUAGUGAAUUUAACUGAAAUGAAAAUGGCACUUUGUGUUAGAACAGUUUACUCAAUGACUGACAUUUUGUUUCAAUGAAGGAACAGAAGAUUAUUUAUGUUGUCAGAUCAUGUGUGACAAUACGUUCGACUCAAAGAUAGAUUUAUGUGGAACAUGGAGAACGUCAAUAGUUGAUAGUUAAAUAGUUAAAAAGGUUCCACCAAACAGCACGACAUGUUAUUUAGGCAUCAGUAUGUUGAUGAUUUGACCUUCUCUGAAAGGCUCAGGAUGGUUCUCUUUAAACCUCUUUAAACACAUCACUGAACCUCUGUGGCUAGCUCACACAGUUUGUGAUCGAUUUCACCGUUUAACCCUUAAACCUUCUCUCACAAUGGCUGAAUAUGAGCUGACCUGUUGUUCCUUCUUCUUGUCCAGGAGCUGUCGGGCGGUGCGGGGAGUUUCUGGUUGUGUCUGACGGGGGUCAAGCUGUCUUCUGACCAGAGUCCUGCUCUGCUUCACUAAUGUCUCACCGCGUUCCACCUCCACUCGGGGCAGCAGGGCCGAGGUCUUCGACGGGACCUCGCCUUGACGGACCGGGAAUUGGCUCAGGAGGAUCAAACUCAAACUCCUAUCCUGUUCCUCCUCCAUCUCCCUCAAACAACAUGCACAUGCAAACACAUGCACGCACACAUGCACAUCUGCACUGACGUAGAGCCUCCCUCAGCGCCUGCAGCACCCUGCUUAGCCUUUCCUUGCCUUCCUCCCUCCCUCCCUCCCCCCCUUGACCUACUAUUCUGUCUAUGCAGUCACUCUGACCCCCAACUACAACCUCAACCUUCUCCCCCCCCCCCCACCCUCCCUACUCCCCGGGACUGUUGUUUCUCGUCUCCCCCUGGGUUUUCAGAGGGUUCCCCUGUGCAGUCAGCCUGGCGAGCAUGCCGCUUUCAGUGGUGCUGUCGGCUUGGUUCGCUCACUGGCCCGGGUCUGACUGGCACCUGAGCUCUCGGCAGACUCGUCCUCCAACCCUCACAGGACCCUCAGCUCAGGGGGAGGCUCUUACCAAGUAGCCACGCCUCUUCCUCUUUCUUCACGGGCAUUUCCUGUUGGACGCACACGUAGCCGAACUGGGUCUGUUUCAGAUGGACAGCCAUAUUUUUUCUCUUUUUGUUUUUGGGUUUGUUUGUUUUUCUCUUCCUGUGUGCGCGCACAGUAAACCCGCCCGAGACCGAACUCUCUAAUAACUAAAAGUCAUGUACAGAAAACUCAUGUAUGAAACCUGUAUGUUAAUUAAUAAGACCUUAUGGAAUGUUGAUAAUGAUAAUUAACGAAUAUUGAUAAACUUAAAGUGGUACUUCCUCAUGUCUGCAUUUCAAAUAGGAGUGGAGUGCACUUCACAAGUGUCUAGCUGGAGUUUCCGCCCCCCCCAAACCGCUCGCCGACCUAAUGACAGCUCUCCCGUUUCUACCGGGAGAUUAAACAAGAAAAGCGCUUCCUUUUUCUCUGCUUUUUUCCUUGUUCCUUUUCUCUUCUUCUCUUUUAUUCGCGCUUGCUUUCUUUCUUCCUAACAGGAAACAGUAGCACCAGAAAUAGGCCAACAGGGAAGGAAAGUCGAGAUGGAAUGAGAGUAUGUAGGUUAGGAAACCCUUCUCUUAGGCUUUAUUAAUGAAAAUGGAGAUGACUCAAGUGCGCUUUGCAAGGUUACUCGGGAGAAGUGCACUUUCCGAAGGCUAUUUGACUGAGAGGCAGCUGGAGAGAAGUCGAUGCCAUUUGUUUUACUUAAAGGCCUCAGGUGAACUUCAGUGGCACUUAUGAAUUCACACUUAUUAUUUCUCCCUCCCACUGAAUACUGGUUGUGAGACCUCAGAUGUGAAUAGAAAAUGCUCAUCUUCAGCCUGAGACAGUGACAUGUCUAAUAUGAAUAUGCUUUAUAUGAUAUAUAUGUAUUAGAGGUAUAUUUUCAGCCAGUGAGCUAUCUUCUUCAGAGAUGUCAACCAUUCCUCAGUUGUAUGAACAGUUAUUACACAGUAACGAACAGUUAUAACUUAAUUCACUCCCCCCUUUACUGAGGAGCAUUCUGACAUGUGUAGAGUACAUUUAUUAUAUCCUUUAUUCUAUUAAACAUUAUAUGAAAUAACAAAGUCCUUAUAAAACAACUGGCCAAUGUUAAGUUCAUCAAGAAUUUACUGAUGUUGAUUGAUCGUUGUAACUAAACCAAAGGUUGGCACUUAACUCAGAGAGCGUAUUUAACAUUGCUGUUUUUAUUUUCAUUUAGGUUCCAAUUUUGUUGUUGUUUGUUUGUUUGUUGUUUGUUUUUGAUUCUUUUUUUUUGGGUUCUGGAUGUGGGAGAAUGUAGCCAAUUGUAGCGCAUGAGUCCGCUAUGCAAAUCAACCUUCCCUCACGAUCCUGUAUCAGAGACAGUCAGGAGGCAGACACACCCACCCGCGGGCGCUCUCAUGGACUCUGGCAGCGACACGGACGGAGAGGAGGAGGAGAUCUCAUGAUUAAUGCUGCUGGUGAACUUUGUUGUUCUGCAUCUACUACUAUGUUUUAACCAAUGGAAUGCAAAAAGAGAGCAACAAGGAGGGAGAGAGCAAACGGGAGAAAGAGAGCGAAUGAAUGUAAACUAAAGGAUGAAAGUGUGUGUUUGUGAAUGAUGCGGUGGUCAGUGAGAGAGAGGUGAAGAGUUUAACUACUGCAGGUGGUUUAUUGUUUGUGGGUGUGUGUAGACUGUGUGUCAGUUCUGGGGUGGUGUUGCUCGGGGAAAGAGGGAACCUGUAUUUUUGCAAUAAAGUUAUUACCAAUGCACUCCCACAGGGGGCGUAACCACCGUACCCUAAUGUGUGUGUGUCAUUAUUUGUGGAAAGAUAAAGAAGCUGAACAUUCAACUUUU
rnacentral:lncRNA from 15 species